GCCCAUUUGGAGCAGUGGUUAGCUCGCUCGUUUCCGGUCUGUACUCUGUUCAGCGAGAAUGCAGGGGUUCGAAUCCCCUAAUGGGUU